GACUCCGUGGCGCAACGGUAGCGCGUCUGACUCCAGAUCAGAAGGUUGUGCGUGUUCAAAUCACGUCGGGGUCA